GCCUUCGUGGUGUAACGGCAGCCCACUCGGCGUGUAUUCUAGAAGUCCAGGUUCGAGUCCCGGCGAGGGCA
rfam:Stegodyphus mimosarum contig86344, whole genome shotgun sequence.